GCCAGACUCCUACGGGAGGCAGCAGUGGGGAAUAUUGGGCAAUGGACGCAAGUCUGACCCAGCAACGCCGCGUGAAGGAAGAAGGCUUUCGGGUUGUAAACUUCUUUUAAGGGGGAAGAGCAGAAGACGGUACCCCUUGAAUAAGCCACGGCUAACUACGUGCCAGCAGCCGCGGUAAUACGUAGGUGGCAAGCGUUGUCCGGAUUUACUGGGUGUAAAGGGCGUGUAGGCGGGACUGCAAGUCAGAUGUGAAAACCACGGGCUCAACCUGUGGCCUGCAUUUGAAACUGUAGUUCUUGAGUACUGGAGAGGCAGACGGAAUUCCUAGUGUAGCGGUGAAAUGCGUAGAUAUUAGGAGGAACACCAGUGGCGAAGGCGGUCUGCUGGACAGCAACUGACGCUGAGGCGCGAAAGCGUGGGGAGCAAACAGGAUUAGAUACCCUAGUAAA
rnacentral:rRNA from 1 species